UACGAACGGUGCAAGCGUUACUCGGAAUCACUGGGCGUAAAGCGCACGUAGGCGGACUCGCAGGUCAAUUGUGAAAUACCUGGGCUCAACCCGGGAACUGCAGUUGAAACCGCUUGUCUUGAAUACCUGAGAGGGUGGGGGAAUACCUGGUGGAGAAGUGAAAUUCGUAGAGAUCAGGUGGAACACCGGAGGCGAAGGCGCCUGCCUGGCAGUGUAUUGACGCUGAGGUGCGAAAGUGCGGGGAGCAAACAGG
rnacentral:rRNA from 1 species